rnacentral:rRNA from 1 species
ACGAACGCUGGCGGCGUGCUUAACACAUGCAAGUCGAACGAUGAAGCCNUUCGGGGUGGAUUAGUGGCGAACGGGUGAGUAACACGUGGGCAAUCUGCCCUUCACUCUGGGACAAGCCCUGGAAACGGGGUCUAAUACCGGAUAACACUCCUGCCUGCAUGGGUGGGGGUUAAAAGCUCCGGCGGUGAAGGAUGAGCCCGCGGCCUAUCAGCUUGUUGGUGAGGUAGUGGCUCACCAAGGCGACGACGGGUAGCCG